UACGUAGGGGCUAGCGUUAUCCGGAAUUACUGGGCGUAAAGGGUGCGUAGGUGGUUUCUUAAGUCAGAGGUGAAAGGCUACGGCUCAACCGUAGUAAGCCUUUGAAACUGGGAAACUUGAGUGCAGGAGAGGAGAGUGGAAUUCCUAGUGUAGCGGUGAAAUGCGUAGAGAUUAGGAAGAACACCAGUGGCGAAGGCGAUUCUCUGGGCUGUAACUGACGCUGAGGCUCGAAAGCGUGGGGAGCAAACAGGAUUAGAUACCCGCGUAGUCCCUGAG
rnacentral:rRNA from 1 species